rnacentral:rRNA from 1 species
GUGUCAGCAGCCGCGGUAAUACGGAGGAUGCAAGCGUUAUCCGGAAUCAUUGGGCGUAAAGAGUCCGUAGGUGGCACUUCAAGUCUGCUUUCAAAGACCGAAGCUCAACUUCGGAAAGGGAGUGGAAACUGAAGCGCUAGAGUAUAGUAGGAGUAGAGGGAAUUCCUAGUGUCGCGGUGAAAUGCGUAGAGAUUAGGAAGAAAACCAGUGGCGAGGGCGCUCUACUGGGCAUAUACUGACACUGAGGGACGAAAGCUAGGGGAGCGAAAGGGAUUAGAUACCCCUGUAGUCCUAGCGGUAAACGAUGGAUACUAGGCGUAGUGCUGUUAGAGGGACUGUGCCGAAGCUAACGCGUUAAGUAUCCCGCCUGGGGAGUACGCACGCAAGUGUGAAACUCAAAGGAAUUGACGGGG